CCCAAGGAUCUGAGGGAUUACCACCUGGAUUUGAUGAGUCAGACUCUAAAUAUUACAACGUUAGCACCGGCCAUGUCUGUUGCUCAGAUCUCCCCUUUUGUGGCACCCUGGCUAGAGGCUCAAACGAUUUGGGAAGCUCGGAUCCCAGGCUCAGAUCCCGUCUGCCAGUCCUUUUCUUUAAGGAUCAUCCAAUGCAUGGGAGGGUGACACUGCCCUAAAAAGAAAGUCAGAGAAAUCUGCCAAUGCAUGUGGUGUGGGAAGAAGCUAUCAGAGGCUGGUGUCACUGACUCUGUGGAGACAGGGUCUGGCUCUCUUGCAGAUGCUGGAGUGCGAUGGUGUGAUCAGAGUUCACUGAAGACUCAGACUCCUGGGCUCAAGUGAUCCUCCCACCUCAGUCUCCUGAGUCCCUGGGAUUACAGGUGUGAGCUACUGUGCCCCACACUAUCCAAUUUUUGUAUCAUUUACAAUACAGAGAAAAUGUUCCCCCUAGAAACCGCUUUUUGUAGCAUUUCCCAAUCGACACAUUUGCAAAACUACCAUUAGCUCCUGUGAGUGAGUCUAAGAUAGCACCAGAUUCCUAUGACUUGGGAACCAGGUGGCAACCUCACCUCUCCCGAUGGAGGAAGCUCUUCCAGCAUCUCUUUCCCCCACGAGAUUUGAACAUGAAGCCUGUGAGAGCUCCUUGUCGUUAUGUUUACAUUGCCCAGGCACCUUUCUAACACAAAGCACCUUAUCAGUCAACCACCUCAGUACAGAUCCAUUACACGGCAAUUUUUCACAGGGCUCCCUCAAAGCCCGUAACUUGAGAGAACAAGUGGUAGAGGCUGGUUUACCCUUAGGCAGAACAAGCUCACCUGCCCGAGGAUUUCAAAAACAUAAAAUUGCUUUACUGUUGCUUUGCUUUGUCUAACUAACGAUUCUUGCUUUAACCAAAAGCACAGGAGUAAACCCACUUUCAGGCCUCAGGUUUCAG
rnacentral:lncRNA from 1 species